CCCGUGGCCAGGCAGCAUUCCCCGAGCAGUUGUGCUGGACGCUAACGGUCCCGGCGAUUUACCUCUCUCCCGGCUAGGAGACUUUUCUGUGCACUGAACAGGUUUGUUAUGGGAGGGCAGCGAGGGGACCCGCCAGUGUUUGAUCCUGCGGUUUCACGGCGGGGAGGGAUUGGGAGGCAACAUCACGCAAGGUUCUGAAGUUGUGUAUUUGCAAAGGGACUUGUGAAUUAGACUAAGGGCACACUUCCUGGUUGUCUAGUCUAUAUCCUUCAUCUCCCCUUAGCUGCCCAGCCCGAGCCUACGCGGCGGGCUUAUCCGGAGAAGUCAAGGUUUUCCGAUCAACUUUGCUAGAUAGCGGCUAUCUUUGCAGUCACCUUGGCAAUAAAGCCAAGACGGCAGCGCACAGGCGGUAUGGCUCAGCUCCCCGUUGGCGAUAAGAGACAGCGGAGCAGUGUGGUGGAUCGCGGCGAAACAGACACUCGGAUGAUCAACCCUGAAGGGAAUUGCGUUAUGGUGAAUUGAAUCAAGACUUCGUACCAUGCACUGGAGUAGGUAGAGCUUUUAUAUUUUAAUAUUUAUUGUUGUGUCAUCUCUCAUAAUUCCUCUUAUACCAUAGUUUCUCAGCUUUUGAACUACAUUAAUAUAUUGAAUGAUAGUAACUGGUAUCAAAGGCCCUCUUUCACUUCUGAAAACUGAGUGGAGAAGUUUGUUUACUGUUUACCUAGCUAAAU
rnacentral:lncRNA from 1 species